GUCAGCUCCACGCUCAUACAUCCAUGCCCUGCUGUCGAGCCUGACAGCCGUCUAUUGUUCAUUCACUGCUUCCACCUCGCCACUUAAUAUUAUUGCGAUAAGGAAACUCUAGUGUCACGACCCACUGGCGUCUGGCUAAUCCGAUGGUAUUCGUCGCUGCAUUGUCCGUGAUCAAUAACUAAUUAUCAAAGUGGCAUUUCUUUUCAAGAGCUCCUUGUUAAAAAAUGGCUUUUGGCUGAGACUAGAGGAAAAAGGUCGCCACUUUGACAUCGUUGCAAGUCUUUCAAAAUCCAGUGGGCCGUCCAAUUGAAUUACUGUCCCAAACUAAUUGAUAUAAAUUUGAACAGAAGAAUGCUUGUUACUACAGAAUGUCAUAAUGAUAUCCUUGGCAAGAGCAUGUCAGUGAGAAAAAAGAGAAAAGACCAGCAUUGGUCACAAAGCAUCUAGACAAGUUGCAGCAGAAGACUGUUAACGAAAGUAAGAGGAAUAAAAUUGUACAUCAGUUCCUUCUUCUCAGUAAGUUUGGUCAGACAUUCAAGAAAGAAAAGCAUUAACAUCUGCUUUUUGUAACAUUUUGCAUUUGAAAUCAGACUUUAUAAAACCUGCUGGAAGAAAGAAAUAACUGCAGUAUACUAAGGACUGAAAACCUGAUGAUCAGUUGCAGAAGUCUCAUUGACUCUACCAGGGUCUUGAGUGAGUGUCUGUUGGAAUUUAGCUUUAGUCGUAAGGCAGAACUUGGCAGACAGUUUCCUUAAACAGCCUUAAAAUAUGACCUUCUUCAAAGCAAACUGGAUUGUAUGUAAAUAAGUCACAUGACUUUGAAAUAGAAAAAGAACACAGGCACUUAAAAUACAGGACGUGCAGUCAUAAAAAUGUGGUGAAAAAAGUGAUGAGAGAAAGAUUUCAUACUAUUCAUGCCUGAGAUUUGAUGUACUGCCUUACAUGGCUUUUGGAGACUGCUGCAGAACCUUGGAACCCUUUUGAUUGUUCAUUGCAUGACAACAGGGCUUGUGAUGUUUCUGGUUUUGUUUAUGUUUUCUAGACCUAACUACCUUCACCUCUGUGUCAUACACUCUGUCUCUGAGCUGGGAAUUGCAAAGGAGGAGCACAGGCAAAGUUGCACACAUGUGGACUGAUGCCAGUGGAACCAGUGGAAUGUUCCAGAUACACAUUCACUGUGUAACUACCCACUGACCGAGGAGAGACCAGGAAAUGAGUGGAAACUUAAAAUAAAUAAUAAAUUCAACUUGUCCAGUACCCACACCAGACCUUCACAACACUCUGUUAUUCUAUUCAUUCUUCAAAAGGAGAAACUGUGGCUGACAGAGAUGGCCAUCCUUCCCUUGGAGACUUCAAGAAGAUGUGGUCCCCAGAAAUGUAGCUGCAUUUGCUGCUGUGGAAACACGUCAUGGCUUCCCUUACCUUUGCAAUAUAAGGAGCUUUUGGCUGCACAUGAAGGCAGAAGUUUUGGCUUCUCAGAACUUAAGAAUAUUAAGGUCCUGCAAGUAGAACACCCCACAGAACUUAAGAAUAUUAAGGUCCUGCAAGUAGAACACCCCAGAUUUCGUCACUGCUGAAAUCCAUUGUCUACAGAAGAUUGUGGACACAGCAAAAGAUGAGUUUCCCAGGCUCUGGAGAUGCAGGAUGUGGUGUUUGGUAAUACUGAGCUGUUUCGUGAUUUUUGAUGUGAAACUACAAGCAAGAGUUCUUAAAUAUUAAGAUUAUUUGAAUCUCUACAACUCAGCGCUUUGUCAGGAAAUGCCAACACUGCAUGUUGAAGUGGCACUGGAAGGUGAGAGGCACUUUCCAGGAUGAAAUUCCUAAACAUUAUUUAUUCCAAGUUGGCAUUUGGUGGUCACAUGCUUCUGCUUGCUAAAAUAGCUAACCAUCAAAACAUAGUUACUGUCUUGAACAAGAAAAUGGCCGCUACGCCAUUUGCUUCUGAUAAGAAGAUGACUACUCAGUAUGUGCUGUCUAAUUAUGGGUGGCAAUUAUAAAACUUUAUGUGCACCUGACCUAGUACAGUUUUGGAGAACAGGUGAUUUUUCAGUUUUGUUUCUGUUUUCAUUAAUUUCUAUUUAUAUUAUCUGAGAAAAAUCUUAUGUUCUAUGAAUAUAUAUAUAUUUAGACAUUAAGUGUAAAAUAUCUUCAUCUACUAUCUUGAUAUAGAAUGCAAUGAAUUUCUGUAAAAGGGAGUAAUGAAGAACGUGUGUUACUUUUCCUUGGAAAGCUCUAUUAAGAGUUAUAAGCUUUACUACAUAAACUUAAUCUCAUGGACACCUUGUGAAUAAUUCUCCGUGGACUAGUUCCUUCUGGAUUCUUGCUUUUAUUUCCAGUAGUCAAAGUAUUAAUAGGGUUAAAGGUGCUGGCAUGGUGAAUUUAUUGUUGACAUCUCACAGUCCGUUAAAGCAAGAUCACUAAUGGCUGACCUUGAGGCUCGACCAUUCCAGACUCUGGAAGAUCAAGUCUCAGACCCCUCCUGCAAGUGCUCUGACCUCUCCAUUCUUCCCCUUUAUGGCCUAACCUUUAACUCACUGAUCUUUGACCAAAUUAUUAAGCAAACACCUGCUUAGGUCUCUGACCAAGGACUGUAGACCAGAAGAGCCACCAUAAUUUCAUGUGAAUUAGCUUUAAUAAUAGCAAUACCAGCCUAAGGAGAAAAUCAGAGGGUAGGUUUACAGUAAAUAAUCAUGCUGCUGAAGAGCACACACAGAACGGACCCUUCAGCAGCUCUUACCUACAGUAAAUCAAUGCUAAUCUAUUUGACUGUGAUAAUAAAGGCUCGUCAGCAGAUAUAGUUUCUUUAUAUGACUUGACUAGGACAAUGACUAGGUAAAAUUUAUUUCCUUUUACUAAAGCAAGACAAAGAUUAAAAUUAAUCCUUUGAUGCCAGGGAUUUCCCGUUUGUAAUAAUGCACAUACUGCAUUAGUGUUCAACACAGUUACUAAGAGGAACUGUAACAGAAAUAAAGGCUGCAAAAAUCUCUGAUGAUUUCAAAUGUUAAGCCUGUGUAAUUUUAUCUGAAUUACACAUGGAAUAAGUGGUUUGAUUUUCCCCAGAUUUUGUGCAUUUCUUGGUCUUUUUCAGUCCAUGCUGAAUGAUUUUAUAAAUCUGCAUCAUCUGCUACUCAAACUUGAGUUGCUCUAGCAUAUGUGAUUCUGUGAUUUUUUUAGUCUUUAAUUACAAGAAACAGUAGAAUCUGAGUUAUAUAAUAUAUCAGACUACAUCAGUAUAGUUUACUAAGUAGAUAUUUUUAAUUUAUUAGAACAAAGUUAUGAACGCUUGCUUUCUCAUAGCUGAUUUUCUCUGAUAGUAGCAAUGUGUGCAUGCAGUAGCUUCAUGUGUAUGUCUGUGGAGGCAUUCUACACCAGCAAGAGAGGCACUGGCAAGUGUAAGUGUUAUGGUGCUAUGCAAAAUCUAUCUUUUAAAUCUAGCCUUUGAAAAGGAUUACGAAGAUAGUUUAUUGUUAUAAGGAAUAGCUUUCAACCUCACUGCUGCUAAUAAGAGAGGGUAAUUAGAUAAAUUGGAUGAGGUUUGGCUAUAAUAUUAAGAACAGCUGAGGUGCCACUGCUUGAAGUUAGUGCAUGCCACAUGACAAAAAACACUGAAUAUGUACAUCUCCAAAUACAUGAAUCAAUUAUGUGUUACCAACUUUAAAAGCCAGUGUUAGUACCAAUCUGCAGUCCAUUGGAGUUUAUCUUUCAUUUUACUGACUUAUGUGCAGUUGUAUCAGGUCUAUAUUUUCUCAUGUAUAUAAAAUGAAUACAGAAAAACUCCACUCUGUUAAUUUUGAAUGUGCACUUACAUGCUUUUUACAAUAUGAAGAUGAAAAUAUCCCUGAUAUAAAUAAUGCUUUCAAAAUUAAAUGGUAGCAAUAUUGUAACAAUAUAAAUUAAAUGGUAUUUAUUUUCUGUUCACUUGAAUGGUUCUUUUAACAUUGCUCUGUGCUCUUUUGAUCUCUUUUCCAGGAUAUUGGCUGUCCUUCCUGAAGAUAUAGUUAUAUUUUCAUUAGUAGAAUAAAGUCUAGCUAACAAUGUUGUGAAUGAAAUUAAGGGCAACUUAAUAUAAACUGUGUUCCCAUCUGAUGGCUGUAAAACAAUAUUAAAUGUUUAUUUGAUCAAUACACACUGUUUCCCAUGUACAAUAUUGUUCAGAUGGAAUUUCCAAGUUUAAACUGAUUUACAUAGAUUAUUAUUUUCCAUUCCCUGACUUGAUUACUUGUAAACUUAAACCUGGUUCAGCUGGCUAGAUAAUGUCAUCAGCUAUGUGCAUUUAUAUACUUCAAAACCCUGUAUAGAGGUUUUUGCACUCAGAAAAAGCUUCCAAAAUCUUUACUGGGGGUCUAGAAAAAUGUUACUUGGACAACUGGGAGAGUACUGCACGGAAUCUGCAUUGGCUGGUACACUACAUCCUUAUGCAAAGUUGGUGGCUUCUUUUCUGAAUUAAGAGACGGAAUGACAUGGUGAGGUAUUGGUUUGAGAGAGGAGGUAAGUUAAAAGAUAAUCAAUAACAAUAAAAGUUACAAAGCAAAGACUGUAAACAGUAAAUGGAUUUUAAAAUGAUGUCUAUUUGAAUGCUCUCGCUUUACACAGCCAUUAAUUAGUGAAACACAAGUCUAGGUGACUACAACACAACAGAGAUGUUCAGUUAAAUGCAUUUCCUACCUCUUUUCCUAUCUGUCAAUAUAAAAGGUCAAUUUUUGCCCAGAUUUACACAAAUGCAUCAUCACUGAACUCAUUUGCUGCCCUGAGUCAUACCAGGCAUUUCCAAAGAUAAUGAAUUUUUCUGUUUCAUGAAAAAAUACAGAUAGGCAAGACCUUGAUUGAAAGCCCAUUAGAAUCAGUGCAAGUCUUACCUUUGACUACAGUGAGCUUUUAAUCAAACCUUGUAUAGUUGUGAAAUAUCCAUAAGGUAUGGAUCACAUCAAUCUAUACUGUGAUACAUUAAUAUUUUAUUAAUAUAAUACAAGUUCACAUUUUUUGUUGUAUGUUUAGCAGGAAAUGAUGUUAAAAGUGCUAAAGAUGGAUCAAGUUUGGGUCAUAGUCAUAUUGGAAGUCAUACAAAUAUGAAGAAAAUGUAAUUAUAUAAAGCUUUAGCAUAUUAUAGCAUUUUUUUCAUAAUUGGUGGCAACCUCUCCUUGUUUAGAAAUAAGGGGUAAUUUAACAAUAUAAAUAUCAAUUAAGUUAUGACAAUAUAUGAGAUCAUGACUCAUUUUUAAUAUAGAUGUGGAGAAAUUUUACUGCCAUGCAGUUUCAAUUCUUGGCUGCUUAUAUCCUACUGAUUCACCAAGCAGUUAAAUAAUAAUACCUUUUGGUGUGUGUAUGUAUGUUGGGGAAGGUGUUAAAUAAAGGUUUUUUUACAAUAACAUAAGAAAACAAAUUUGUUUUUCCCUUUGUUCAUAGCUGCUCCUAGUGGUUAAAAUUUGCAUUCUUUUGACUGUAAGCUUAGAAAACAUUUUAAAUGUAGCAUUAUAGAGCAAGGAAAUAUAAUGUGAUUUUAUUUGAUGAAUGAACUAAGUUGUGUUUAUUGAUUAUUCAAGGAAAGAAUUAUUUUAAAAUAUCAUUUCAGGUAACGUCAAAGGCAAAGAAAGUGCUCUGGCAUAUGUAAGAUGAAAAAAAAAAAGAGGGUAUUCCUGAAAGAAGAAUGCACAUCAGUCAAAGGCAUCAAUAAAUAAAGCUCUUUUUCAUAUGUAAAUGGGAAUUUAUAAAGUAAAGAAGGAGCAUCUUCUCUGCAUGAAAUUAGUGAGCCAGAGUCAAGGGCAGAAAAAAAACAGAGACAGACAGACUUCCUCAACUUAUACACCCCACAGGGACCAGCUGACGUUGAAAAAGCAAAGAAGUGAGCCAUUAAAGUACGGUUUGGGAUUGACACUGACCUAGGCCUGCCAUCCAGCAUUGUCCUGCCAUCUGCACAGACAUGAACUUUGCCUCUAAAAUUUGGCUUCUCAAUUAACAUGUCCAGCUGGGGGGAGAAUUCCGUCAUUUGCCUAAUAUCAUUAUUGCCACUGCUCUGACAUAUUAAUAUUAAAAAUAUAUGUGAACAGAUCAAGGAUUUGCCUAAGCACUUCUCUUUUUAUUUCACAUAAUAGUUAGGAGGUGAAAGA